rnacentral:rRNA from 1 species
AUGGAUGGUGGGGGCGCUUCCUUGGGGGUCGUGGACGAUGAGCUCGUGACGCGGUCGCUCCUUCACUUGGGUCAACGCCCAGCGUCACCGACACUCCUGCAGGCUGGCCCCACGGUGGAGGAGGUGGCACCUGUGCCCAUGGGACCGGCACUAGCUGACGUGGGCAUGGGAAAUGCCAACAUGAAGCCUGCUGGUGGGCUCCCAAUCAAUGGGCCGGUGGGAGCCAUUAGCAACAUGCUUGCCAAUCUCGAUGAGCCAAUCACGCCUGCACUGCUGCCCAGGCCGACAGCUGCACGCCCCAGAGCGCCUCGCCGGGGACGCCAUUCGCCGGUGUCCAACCCACGCAGGAGCCGCCGCCUUGCUUCCUCCACCGCGGCCGCGCUGGGGGCAGUGGCUAGGGCGCAGAAGCUGAUCAUGCAGAAGCUUGGAAUCGAGACGGACAAUGAUGAUGCGAUGACCAGAUACACCAGCACCUUCGAUGAGCCGCUUUCCGAGCAUCAGAUCAAUGCCCUCACUGCGCUGGCCGAGGCGAAGGGAGGAAAGAAGCGCGUCAGCAAGAGGGGUCAGGGAAGCGGGGCUGCAGCACAGGAGGCGGCCUAA